AAGGAUUCUAAGAAUUCAGAAAGCUAUCUGGUCAGAAGGUUAGCUGCAAGUGAAGGGCAUGAAAUGGUGUCUAAUGAUGGAAAGGAUGAACCUUUUGUUCUUGAGAAGNUUGUUCUUGAAAAGGAUCAGUGUUGGGUUUUGGCUGACAAUGAGAAGUUGAAGCCCACGGAAGCAAACGACAGUCGAAUAUUUGGUCCAGUUCCCAUGUCAGACAUAGUUGGCCGGG
rnacentral:misc_RNA from 1 species